rnacentral:rRNA from 1 species
UGGAUGAUGUGGAUUAAUUCGAUGCAACGCGAAAACCUUACCUACCCUUGACAUGUCCGGAAUCCCGAAGAGAUUUUGGGAGUGCUCGCAAGAGAACCGGAACACAGGUGCUGCAUGGCUGUCGUCAGCUCGUGUCGUGAGAUGUUGGGUUAAGUCCCGCAACGAGCCGCAACCCUUUGUCAUUAGUUGCCAUCAUUUGGUUGGGCACUCUAAUGAGACUGCCGGUGACAAACCGGAGGAAGGUGGGGAUGACGUCAAGUCCUCAUGGCCCUUAUGGGUAGGGCUUCACACGUCAUACAAUGGUCGGUACAGAGGGUUGCCAACCCGCGAGGGGGAGCUAAUCCCACAAAGCCGAUCGUAGUCCGGAUCGCAGUCUGCAACUCGACUGCGUGAAGUCGGAAUCGCUAGUAAUCGUGGAUCAGCAUGUCACGGUGAAUACGUUCCCGGGUCUU